UACGUAGGGUCCGAGCGUUGUCCGGAAUUAUUGGGCGUAAAGGGCUCGUAGGCGGUCUGUCGCGUCGGGAGUGAAAACUUACAGCUUAACUGUGAGCGUGCUUCCGAUACGGGCAGACUUGAGGUAUUCAGGGGAGAACGGAAUUCCUGGUGUGAGCGGUGAAAUGACGCAGAUAUCAGGAGGAACACCGAUGGCGAAGGCAGCUCGCUGGGACGGUACUGACGCUGAGGCGCGAAAGCGUGGGGAGCAAACAGG
rnacentral:rRNA from 1 species